rnacentral:rRNA from 1 species
UAGGGCUUCACACGUCAUACAAUGGUCGGUACAGAGGGUUGCCAACCCGCAGGGGGAGCUAAUCCCACAAAGCCGAUCGUAGUCCGGAUCGCAGUCUGCAACUCGACUGCGUGAAGUCGGAAUCGCUAGUAAUCGUGGAUCAGCAUGUCACGGUGAAUACGUUCCCGGGUCUU